rnacentral:hammerhead_ribozyme from 1 species
GUCCAUAUGAUGAGUCCCAAAUAGGACGAAGUGUGUUUUGUCCUGGAU